GAUGGUGAGGGGCAGCUCGUGUCAUCUCUUCCCCCUGGCACUGGUUACAUACGCUAUCCAGAUUUUUGACAAAUUCAUUGCAGGGAAUCAAUUCUAUCAGAAAUGUUAUAUCAUGUUCUAUAACUAUUUUUACAACAUGUAAGCACUUCUCAGUCGGAAAGAGUUGUGUGCAUGGCAGUAAAGCAGAAUUUUUAUAGGCAUGCAUUCAAGAAGAUUCUGGAUCAGUUUUUUUGAAUUAAUUUUCGCGGGCCAAAAUUGAUGACUG